GAGAUCAGGAUCAUGUGUGUCCAGCUCUGUGUCUCUGAAGAGUGACUGGUCUAAAGGUGAUGUUCCUCCAGACCUCAGUGAGAAAACACCAUCAUCAGUCAAAAGUGUGAGAUCAGGAUCAUGUGUGUCCAGCUCUGUGUCUCUGAAGAGUGACCGGUCAAUGAAUCAUCCACCACCAGACCUCAGAGAGAAAACACCAUCAUCUGCCAGAAGACACCUAGUGGCAGAUUUAGUUUCUUAUUCAGACAAUCUCCAGUGGAUCUUCCAGAAUCUUGAGAGUAAAAUGAUCAGAUUUCUGAACAAUCAACUGGAAAACUUUAGGAAAAUCUUACAAGACAAAAACAGAAAACAGUUUGUAAAGGAGUUUAAUGAGGACAG